rnacentral:rRNA from 1 species
GAUCAUGGCUCAGAGCGAACGCUGGCGGAAUGCUUAACACAUGCAAGUCGCACGGGGGCUUCGGCCUUAGUGGCGGACGGGUGAGUAACGCGUAGGAACGUGUCUUGGGGUGGGGGAUAACGCUGGGAAACUGGCGCUAAUACCGCAUAGGGGCUGAGGCCCAAAGCCUUCGGGUGCCUUGAGAGCGGCCUGCGUCCGAUUAGCUAGUUGGUGGGGUAAAGGCUUACCAAGGCGACGAUCGGUAGCUGGU